UCACCACCGAAAAUUAGCAGCAAAAUAGGGGUUUGAGAGCUUAAAAAUUUCAGCAAGCUUUUCUCCUUACAAAUCAAGAAUUAAAUAAAUCGGACUUGGAUCGGGGGAAAACAAAAGUCGUCGAUUAAUCAUUCCGUUUCGGUUUAUCGUUGUCCGAGAUUUUGGAAGUUAGUUGCGGGAUCGGGGAUCGUCAACGAAAUCAAUCACACUAUCGUCUGUUAUCGUGUAUGGAUCCUGAUCCCGGUCGAGCCAUAGCGGAUGAUGUCGAGAGUAUAGUGCUUGCUCCCGUGCAAGGGACAGUACCGGUUGAUUCUCAACCGACUUCGAGUACCCAAGAGGGUGAGGCUAAGCAAGCCUUUCACCAAAUGAUGAAUGAUUGGUUUACUCAAUAUAUCCGAACUAAUCCAUCUCUGAUACCUGUGGUGCCUCAAGUAUUUGAUCCGAUGAGAUUCCAUAGGCCCCUUGUCGAUAAAAUUAGAAAAUACGAGGCUGAAGAGUUCAAGGCCACAGUUGAUGACGAUACUGAGCGGGCUAAAUUUUGGCUCAACAAUACUAUUCUUGUGUUCGAUGAAUUAUCGUGUACACCCGAUGAAUGCUUGAAAUGUGCUAUAUCAUUACUUCGGGACACUGUAUAUCACUGGUAGAAUACACUGGUUUCGGUCAUUCCGAAAGAACGGGUCACCUGGGAAUUCUUUCAGACAGAGUUUCGCAAGAAAUACAUUAGCCAGAGAUUUAUAGAUCAGAAACACAAGGAAUUUCUCGAGCUUAAACAGGGCCGUAUGACUGUAACAGAAUAUGAGCGGGAGUUCGUGAGACUCAGCUGAUAUGCUUGAGAGUGUGUUUCAACGGAAGCUAUAAUGUGUAAACGAUUCGUCGAUGGCUUAAAUGAAGACAUAAAACUUCUGGUUGGAAUUCUUGAUUUGACCGAGUUUGUGGUUUUAGUUGAAAGAGCUUGUAAAGCUGAAGAACUCAGUAAAGAAAAGAAGAAAGUAGAUUCUGAAGCUAGAGAUGAGAGAAAAAGAUCAAUGAGUAAACCGUAUCAGUCUUCGUCAAAAAGAUUUAGAGAUGCACCCAGUCGUUCAAAUGAUUCAGUUGGGUAUGCAAAUAAAGAACGUUUUGUGAAAGGAUUCUCUAUGAUUGCGACUCCGAUGACGAAGCUAUUACAGAAAGAUGUUAAGUUCGAGUGGUCAGAAAAGUGCCAGAAAAGUUUUGAUCAGUUGACAGUCAUGUUGACCGAAGCUUCAGUGCUAGUUUAGCCAGAAUUGGGUAAAGAGUUCGUUAUCUAUAGUGAUACAUCUUUGAGUGGGUUGGGCUGUGUUUUGAUGCAGGAAGGCAAAGUUGUAGCUUAUACCUCGAGACAGUUAAAGCCGCAUAAAAAGAACUAUCCGGCACACGAUCUGGAAUUGGCAGCUAUUGUGUUUGCAUUAAAAAUAUGGCGCCACUAUCUGUUCGGUGAGAAAUGUCACAUUUAUUCUGAUCACAAAAGUCUUAAAUAUUUGAUGACUCAGAAAGAUCUGAAUUUGAGACGGCGCCGAUGGUUAGAGUUGUUAAAAGAUUACGAGCUUGUGAUCGAUUAUCAUCCGGGAAAGGCUAAUAUUGUUGCUAAUGCUCUAAGUCAAAAAUCGUUGUUUGCUUUGUGUGCAAUGAAUGCGUAUAUGGCUAUGUCAGAUGAUGGUGCAAUAAUAGCCGAGUUAAAAAUGUAAAAUUCACCGAGGAUAUUAGAAACGGAAUUAGAGAGUGAAUAAGGUAUAGAAUUAAAGCUUAUCGAGUCUAUUUUCGUAUGAAAUAAACGGUAUAGGAAAAUGAAUUUUAUAUUAUGAGAUAUUUGAAUUUUAGUGAGAUAGGGUCAGAAUGAUUUUGGAAUCCCCUGUCUUGAUUUUGGAAAAUUAUUAAAAAUUGUACAGAAAGAAUUAUGAGUUAUAAUUUAUAUGUCUUGAUUC